rnacentral:rRNA from 1 species
GACGAACCGUGCAAACGUUUUUCGGAAUCACUGGGCUUAAAGGGCGCGUAGGCGGCUCGCCAAGUCGGGGGUGAAAUCUUUCGGCUCAACCGGAAAAGUGCCUUCGAUUCUAGCGGGCUUGAGCGAGGUAGGGGCAUGUGGAACUUCCGGUGGAGCGGUGAAAUGCGUUGAUAUCGGAAGGAACGCCGGUGGCGAAAGCGACGUGCUGGACCUCUUCUGACGCUGAGGCGCGAAAGCUAGGGUAGCGAACGGG